rnacentral:lncRNA from 1 species
UCCUUGAGCCCACUUUUGGGGAUCCAUCGUGAAAUGUCGCCCUAGUAUUCAGCUUUUAGGUUUCUUAUUUUUUCUCUUAUUUUAUCCUUGAUCCUUUGGAUCAACCCUUGUUUUGUCUGCUCCAUGCUUGAUACGGAAUCGAAGCCAGCGAUUGCUGGAUCUUUCAAAAAUAAUAAUAUUAUACCCCAGAUUAGUUUAGAGGAGAUCACUUGCGUGACUGCACAAAUUACUAGGCAAAAUACAAGGCGGCAAGAUAUUUGACUUAGCUAUUGAUUACUGCGAGUGAAUUAAGAAUUUCCUUGCCACCAAUAGUGGAAAGAUCAGAAGGAGUAAUUUAAACAGCAAGUCAAGGGUGACGCAGGACACACGUUGCACUUACCCCCUCCCACAGACAUAAGAAGUUUAGCCGACUUCUUUUUGUCUCUUCUUUUGCGACGAAAAUUUUAGCGAGACCUUCUCAGGGUGAUCAAUCAAUCAGGCCCCAAUAUUCCAUUCAGCAAGUGAUGACAAGCAGGGCCAAGAAAAAUUCUGCAGUAUGAUAUCAGCAAUGUGGAGCUGCUUUCACCUUUCUCAAGACCCUGCAGUCACCGGUGGUGGUUAGCGUCGGCAAGUUGCAAAUGGACAUCUGAAUUCCUAAGCAACCAUCGACUUCAGAGGCAGCAGGAGACAAGGACGAUUUCAGCACAGGCGUACUACUAGCUUUAUUCCAUCCAAUUGAAUAGAAAACAUCAGAUUACACAAAACUUGUCCAAUAGAAACAUUCAAGAUUCCCUCGCCCUUCUUUUUCCUCCCCUACAUUAUAGACAUAAAAGGUUAUUCAUAAAGGGCCAGCACUACGCCGAGAAGUGCUGAAAAAUGUGUGGGGGGUGUGAGGGUGCAACAACCAUCUGCUAUGCAGAUAUUAUAGUUUAUCGAGGAAUUAACAACGAUGGGUGAGAAAGUUACAGACGGAAAAACAUUAUUGAAAAGGAAAGCAAACCACCAAGGCGCUAUGCUAAUGGCUUUAUGGCCUUCAUCGAAUGGCAGUUGAUAGCUCACACCGAGAUGCCAACAGUAAUACACCUCCCCCCCUCUCCCCUGAAAUAUUUAUUUAUCUGGACUGCAUACCUUAUGUGCUUCCAACUGCAGCACACACAAGUACAGAGGGGUCCUCCUCGAAGAAGCUCAUGAUACCUCCUCUUGCUUAUGCUCGGAUAAAAGGCUCAUGAUGCCUUAGCUUCCAGACUUCGUCUUCCCCGAGGAUCGCAGAGGCGCAGCUAUAGAGGACAGGCUCUGGCGCUGGCAUGCAUCGACACCAAGGAUAAGAUCUACGAGAUGGCCAUGGCUGGUCCAGCUUGCAGAUUUCUCUCGUGUUUUCUGUGUUUUGUAGCAUGUCUUAUCGUUAUGGAGUCUGCUUUGUCUGCCCAUUCAUGGUGCACCCCACAUCCCAACCCGAGGGGAGAAGCGGAGUUUAAGCAGAAGACAGACAAGUUUUGGGAGUACCAGGAGCAGAGCAAUACCUGGGUGGAAAUAAGCAUGCCUUUCAAUCUCAUGUCCUGUAUCAACG